GCUUAACCGGAGAAGUGCAUCGGAAACUGAUAAACUUGAGUGCAGAAAAGGAUAGUGGAACUUCAUGUGUAGCGGUGAAAUGCGUAGAUAUAUGAAGGAACACCAGUGGCGAAGGCGGCUAUCUGGUCUGUAACUGACGCUGAGGCUCGAAAGCAUGGGUAGCAAACAGGAUUAGAUACCCUGGUAGUCCAUGCCGUAAACGAUGAAUGCUAGGUGUUGGAAGGUUUCCGCCUUUCAGUGCCGCAGCUAACGCAUUAAGCAUUCCGCCUGGGGAGUACGACCGCAAGGUUGAAACUCAAAGGAAUUGACGGGGACCCGCACAAGCGGUGGAGCAUGUGGUUUAAUUCGAUGCUACGCGAAGAACCUUACCAGGACUUGACAUCUUCUGCCAAUCUAAGAGAUUAGACGUUCCCUUCGGGGACUGAAUGACAGGUGGUGCAUGGUUGUCGUCAGCUCGUGUCGUGAGAUGUUGGGUUAAGUCCCGCAACGAGCGCAACCCUUGUCUUUAGUUGCCAGCAUUAAGUUGGGCACUCUAGAGAGACUGCCGGUGAUAAACCGGAGGAAGGUGGGGAUGACGUCAAAUCAUCAUGCCCCUUAUGUCCUGGGCUACACACGUGCUACAAUGGGCGAUACAACG
rnacentral:rRNA from 1 species